rnacentral:lncRNA from 1 species
CCCAUUUUGAUUUCUACAGAUCGAGCCUCAAAAGUCUCAGCUGCAUGAUUCUACACAUCCAGCCAUUUGAAGUGUGCUAGGAAAUGAAGCAUUCUAAGUCAAGAUAAUAAAAACAAUCACUGCACUACAGUCAUUCUUCAUGGAGGACAAAUCUCUGGAGGAGGCACUACAUGAUGGGUGUCAUGGGAGAAUAUAAUCUGAUAGGAGAUGGUGUCUACGAUGAAAAUAUCAUGGAGAACCCAGAUAUCUGUGUCUUGAGAUGAUGUGGCUACAAGGAUUUUGUCCACACUACUCCAGGUUUUGCAGUGGGGUAUGAGUGUGAGCGGACAACAGAUGAACCAAACCUUGCUGUACACAGAUUCUUGAGCAGUCUGGCUGGCAGGCACACUGGGGUUUCUGAAGCCCUUCAAAUUAUUCACACUAGAGCUGCAGAACAACUCAUCAGGAACUAUGAGUUCUUCCCUAGUGGAGGGCAUUAAAUAUUAACUGAAUGUUUACACAUGCCUUCAACAAGAUGGAAUGUGCCUGUGCGCUGUAGAAGAUACCUUGACGGGGCACAAGGUAGUAAGAUGUUCUGACCUGCAGGUCACCGUGCCCCUCAGCCUCUGUAACUCUGCGAGCCAAUUCGUUAUAAGAAGUCCUGGAGCUGAAGACUGUGGCUCAGCAAUGAAGAAUGCUAACAGCUCUCACAGAGGACCAGAGCUCAGCUCCCAGCAUCGGCAUCAGAUGACUCACAAACACUCCUGGAUCUCCAGCUCUAAGGGAUCAGAUGUCCCCUUGUUGCCUCUGUGGGCACCCAGACAUGUGCGCAGAUAUACACAUAAGUAAAAUAAAUCUUAAAAAAAAAAAACAAACCCAGUCAACCAUCCAUCACCUGUCCCGCAUCCUCACGGCUCUGGCUCUCUGCAGCACCCGGACUGCCCUAAUACAAGCCUCCCCACCUUGCUGCCUUCUUUACUCAAUGUGGAAGUUACGGGUAGGGACAAACCUGAGACAGGCCAAGCAGGAGGAAGGAGAGACUCAGAGGCUUGGAAGGAAAGCAAAUGUUGGCAAUUUGGUGAUGUGACAAAUAGAGGCAGUGGACGCAGGGCCAGAUUCCUUGGCAUGUGCCUGUGUGUCGACAGCACCAUGGACUCAGUAGAGUCUAGCCACACUUGCCUUAACGCUCUGCUGCUGCGGAGCUGGAAUUUUUAGGAAGUUUGAGUGAAGGGGAAUUUAUUUUCACAUUACACUGGUCCCUAGAGAGGGGGUAUAGUCUGUGAUGCAUGCAGGGUUGUAUCCCUUAGAGAAAUGGAG